AUGAACGCUGGCGGCGUGCCUAAUACAUGCAAGUCGAGCGAACAGACGAGGAGCUUGCUCCUUUGACGUUAGCGGCGGACGGGUGAGUAACACGUAGGUAACCUACCUAUAAGACUGGGAUAACUUCGGGAAACCGGAGCUAAUACCGGAUAAUAUUUCGAACCGCAUGGUUCGAUAGUGAAAGAUGGCUUUGCUAUCACUUAUAGAUGGACCUGCGCCGUAUUAGCUAGUUGGUAAGGUAACGGCUUACCAAGGCAACGAUACGUAGCCGACCUGAGAGGGAGGAUGGGCAGACUGGAACUGAGACACGGCCCAGACUCCUACGGGAGGAAGCAGUAGGGAAUCUUCCGCAAUGGGGGAAAGCCUGACGGAGCAACGCCGCGUGAGUGAUGAAGGUCUACGGAUCGUAAAACUCUGUUAGUAGGGAAGAACAAAAGUGUAAGUAACUGUGCACGUAUUGACGGUACCUAAUCAGAAAGCCACGGCUAACUACGUG
rnacentral:rRNA from 1 species